UAAACAUUGAUUUUGAAAACCUACAGGAAAUUUUUUUAAACAUUGAAGAGAAGAAGAUAUUCUGGUUGGCCUGAUGGACUCUGGUUAGGUAAGAGCUAAAUGUAGCCUCGUGGACAGCGACUUGGUGCUUCUCCUAAUUAAGUCCCUUGCUCAUUUAAACCCAUCUAGACAACUACUUCUCAGACUAUACACCAUCUUUUCCCAAAAGCUCAAGAACAAUGUGUUCCUCUGGCAAAAUCAAGCUGAGGCAUCUGGAAAAUGGGCAGUACCCACAGAGACUCGUUUCAAGCCACCUUCCUCCCAUUCCAGUACUGACAUGUGAGAGGAACACGGCCAGCUGUUUUGUAACAAGACUGUAAGAAAAAUCAAUCUCCAAAUUGAAGGCCAGUAUAUUAGCAAGUGAAUUAUACCAUCUCUUUACUAUUCCUCCUCUUGAGUGGAUUAUGUAACAGUAUCCAACCAAUCUGGGCAAAAUGCAAGCAUUAAAGAUGAAAACAUGUUUGCCUUUAGAAAGGAGUUCACACGAGGAAAUGAGGAAUACAAUUAUGUGCAUGUAGGUAAUGAGAAGUGGGGGGAAAACAUGUUAUUUUCUAGAUUGGCUAUUUGAAUUGGUUGGAUUAGGAGGGGUACAGGUUCUCUUUUUUGGCAGAAAGUUUUCCUUUGUUUAGAAAAACACCUUUGUGAAUCUCCUCAACCCCCACCCUAGACAAGCAAUUCAGAAAGAGAAGAAUAAACUUGAUUUAGGAAAUAAAAUAAAAAUAAUUCCAUAAAAAGGUCCUUAAAAAUUCCUUUAAAAAGAAAAAAAAAAAAAAACUUCCCUAAUGGUGUUGGGUAAGAGGAUGUCUUCAGAUCCAUCUCUCGGCCCUGCUCUGUGCACUGUGUUUAACCCGUCCUCCAUGGAGGGCAAUAAACAGACUCCCUAAUCUACUGGUUUCCAGUUGGGUUCUGCCAAUAGGAGUUAAGUGCCAAAGACUGGAGAGUGGGAGGAGAGUGAGUACAGGGUGGUUUAUUCCCCAGGCUCUCUUUAAGCUGGGCCUCUGGCUAGCAGAUGCUGGGCAACCCUCUGCUACAGGGCCCCUCCCCAUCACAGUCCCAGAAAUUGCUUCUCUGUCCUGGCCCCUCAGGCCUAAAAGCAAUGACAGCUUCCUCCCCAUCUCAGACACAAGACACUCCACCAUACAGUCAGUCCUGCUAGAAGCAACAUAUGUGUUCUUGAAAAUCAUCAUGCCAUGCAAAAUUUUGCAAAAAAUACCCAGGGGUUUAUGGUAAAAUGGGAGGCACACACACCCACAAAUUCAAUCUAUGAUAUUUGAAAAACAUAGCAACCUAAUAAAAAUAUUGACAGUGUUACACUUGUUACGUGAUUAAGAAACAUGUAAAUACAAUCAAUAUUGCAUUUUACUUUGAAAAAGACCUUGGAGUUUGCAGGACACAUCAGAAGGGUUGCAGCUUAUGAACUGUUGCAAAGCCGCAACAGGAAACUAAUCUGAAAUUUGAAAAAAAAAAAAAAAAAAAAAGUUGCUGCACCAGAUGGGGUUGGUAUGGCGCAUGACAAGGUGGUGAACUGAGGUGAAGAGCAGAUGUGUUGGGGAGGGGUGUGCGUUCUGUGUAUUCCUACAGUUUGGUUCAACAGGGCCCACAGAUUUCUGUGUUCACCAAAUGCUUUUCACGAAUGCAGUCACACAUAAACAAAUGCAACACUACGCUCAAAAUGUUCCAGGAUAUAUCAAUGGCAUUGGAACAAAUCUGUGUUUUCAAAACAAGUGUUAUAACAGAACUGAUUGUACAUAGUUUAUUUCCCUACACAUGGCCUGUGACUUUAUAAAUAACAGUGGCUUCACUACAUUCUUCUUAAUGACCACAUUUGAGUAUGUCCUAUUUCCCGUCAAAACGCUUAGAGAACUAGGGCAGUCUGGGGACAAGAGCUCUAGUAAAAUGGUGGGAGUUCAGAACCUGAGAGUUCAAACAGCCUAUCAGAAAUUCCAAAAUUCCAGUUGGAAGAGGUUGCCAAGUGACUUUGAAAGACAGUGGUGUGUCUUAAUAAAAUUCUAGUUGCUUCAAGUUCUAUACCAUCUUGUAGUUCCUGCCACAGCCCGCCCCACUUACCCUGUUGUGUGCAACAGCUCUGGGGUAGUACAGCGCUGGGGAUGGGAAGGGAGGAAAGUGGCAUGUAGAACAUGAAGAGGGGCACAAAGGACAGGGGUCACAGUUGCUGAGAAGAGAUAAGUGAGAUACAAGCCCCUUUCCCCAGAAUAAACCAAAGAAAACCUCUGAAAGGCACCGGGCAGUCCCUGCUCUGCUAAUACAUAAUGUACUCCUAUGAGGGGCCUUUCCAUGGAUAGAGAAGUGGACUCCACAUAUAAGAAAAACGAAUAUAGCUUUGACUUUUACAUUUUCUACCAAGAAAAGCCUCUCAACAAUAUUUUCCAUUUCAAAGGCACUUGUUCUCCAAGUAACACAAAUUUAGGAGUGAAAAUACUCAAUAUUUUCUCUCUUCAACAAGCCCUUUUAUUAUUUUUUUUUUUAUUUGAGUCAGAACAUAAAUAUAACCUAGGCUUUGCCCAACUAAAUUACAUUAGCCAUAGAAGCAUGCCCACAUGAAGGGAUUAUUAAUCCUCAAAAAAACCUUGGCAGAAUUUGAUGAAAGCUGAAAUGUAUUUUCACAGAUGGCUGUGCUAUGGUGUAUUUGAUUUGAAAAAUAUUAAACAAAGCAAUACCCCAUUUCUGUUUUAUUCCCUGAAAGCAAUUACUACAUGAAAAGAUAGACAGACAGGACACAGUUAACAAACAAAGACUAAAGAGUUGUCAUCAGCUUAGAAAUGUUCUGGAAAACAAAUGAGAGCCACUCUCCAAUAAUAUGAUUGUAAAAUACGGAAAUAAAAAAUCUAUAUUGUGUACAUACACGUACUUAUAGCCCACAUCAUGGUUUGAUGAACCAAGAGAUAAAUGGCCCAACAUUGAUUGUUUUUACAGGAAUAUGACAACCCUCCAAAGAAGAGAACCAGAACAUCUCUCCAUUCACAUAAAAAGCAAAUUACAGAUGGGGAAGAAAAAAAAAAAUUCACUACUCUCAGAGCAAGAUUCAAUUAAAAAAAUAUGUCUGGCUUUGACAGGGCAAAUUCCAGGCAUAGUGUAUUUUCAUAGAAGUUGGUCCUGGAGGAAAGAUUUCAGUCCUACAAAAGCCUACGGAACUUUUCGCGGCUUGUCAUAAUUUCUCUGUAAUUCUAAACAAGGAUUUCUGCCUCCUUAGCUCAUAUUUUUCCCCUAACUGAU